rnacentral:rRNA from 1 species
AGUGGGGGAUAACGUCCGGAAACGGGCGCUAAUACCGCAUACGUCCUACGGGAGAAAGUGGGGGAUCUUCGGACCUCACGCUAUUAGAUGAGCCUAGGUCGGAUUAGCUAGUUGGUGAGGUAAUGGCUCACCAAGGCUACGAUCCGUAACUGGUCUGAGAGGAUGAUCAGUCACACUGGAACUGAGACACGGUCCAGACUCCUACGGGAGGCAGCAGUGGGGAAUAUUGGACAAUGGGCGAAAGCCUGAUCCAGCCAUGCCGCGUGUGUGAAGAAGGUCUUCGGAUUGUAAAGCACUUUAAGUUGGGAGGAAGGGCAGUUACCUAAUACGUGAUUGUUUUGACGUUACCGACAGAAUAAGCACCGGCUAACUC